rnacentral:tRNA from 1 species
AGGGGUGUAGCUCAAUUGGUAGAGUAGUGGACUCCAAAUCCAUUGGUUGCGUGUUCAAGUCGCGUCACCCCUGCCA